UUUAAUUGAAGAGUUUGAUCAUGGCUCAGAUUGAACGCUGGCGGCAGGCCUAACACAUGCAAGUCGAGCGGCAGCGACAACAUUGA
rnacentral:rRNA from 1 species